GUCGGGAUAGCUCAGCUUGGUAGAGCAAGGGACUGAAAAUCCCUGUGUCGGCGGUUCAAGUCCGUCUCUCGACA
rnacentral:tRNA from 1 species